GACGAACGCUGGCGGCGUGCCUAAUACAUGCAAGUAGAACGCUGAAGGAGGAGCUUGCUUCUCUGGAUGAGUUGCGAACGGGUGAGUAACGCGUAGGUAACCUGCCUGGUAGCGGGGGAUAACUAUUGGAAACGAUAGCUAAUACCGCAUAAGAGUAGAUGUUGCAUGACAUUUGCUUAAAAGGUGCAAUUGCAUCACUACCAGAUGGACCUGCGUUGUAUUAGCUAGUUGGUGGGGUAACGGCUCACCAAGGCGACGAUACAUAGCCGACCUGAGAGGGGGAUCGGCCACACUGGGACUGAGACACGGCCCAGACUCCUACGGGAGGCAGCAGUAGGGAAUCUUCGGCAAGGGACGGAAGUCUGACCGAGCAACGCCGCGUGAGUGAAGAAGGUUGUCGGAUCGUAAAGCUCUGUUGUAAGAGAAGAACGAGUGUGAGAGUGGAAAGUUCACACUGUGACGGUAGCUUACCAGAAAGGGACGGCUAACUACGUG
rnacentral:rRNA from 1 species